ACGGGGAGAAGACUAACAAGGAUUCCCCUAGUAACUGCGAGUGAAGCGGGAAAAGCUCAAAUUUAAAAUCUGGCGGUCUUCUGGCCGUCCGAGUUGUAGUCUGGAGAAGCGUUUUCCGCGUUGGACCGUGUACAAGUUUCCUGGAACGGAGCGUCAUAGAGGGUGAGAAUCCCGUCUUUGACACGGACCCCAAUGCUUUGUGAUGCGCUCUCAAAGAGUCGAGUUGUUUGGGAAUGCAGCUCAAAAUGGGUGGUGAAUUCCAUCUAAAGCUAAAUAUUGGCGAGAGACCGAUAGCGAACAAGUACCGUGAGGGAAAGAUGAAAAGCACUUUGGAAAGAGAGUUAAACAGUACGUGAAAUUGUUGAAAGGGAAACGCUUGAAGUCAGUCGCGUCGGCCGGGACUCAGCCUUGCAUCCGCUUGGUGUACUUUCCGGUCGACGGGCCAGCAUCAGUUUUGACCGCGAGAUAAAGGCGGAGGGAAUGUGGCUCUCUCGGGAGUGUUAUAGCCCUUCGUCAGAUGUCGCGGUUGGGACUGAGGAACUCAGCACGCCUUUAUGGCCGGGGUUCGCCCACGUACGUGCUUAGGAUGCUGGCGUAAUGGCUUUAAACGACCCGUCUUGAAACACGGACCAAGGAGUCUAACAUGCCUGCGAGUGUUCGGGUGGAAAACCCGUGCGCGCAAUGAAAGUGAAAGUUGGGAUCCCUGUCGUGGGGUGCACCGACGCCCGGCCCAGACCUUUUGUGACGGAGCUGCGGUAGAGCAUGUAUGUUGGGACCCGAAAGAUGGUGAACUAUGCCUGAAUAGGGUGAAGCCAGAGGAAACUCUGGUGGAGGCUCGUAGCGAUUCUGACGUGCAAAUCGAUCGUCAAAUUUGGGUAUAGGGGCGAAAGACUAAUCGAACCAUCUAGUAGCUGGUUCCUGCCGAGUUCCCCCUAAGGAAAAAUC
rnacentral:rRNA from 1 species